GGCUGCUUCCCCUCCACUCCUCCCUGGGGGGCUGUGGCUGGGCCAAUGCAGCAGGGCCUGGUCUGACCCUGGGGUACAGAGAGCUGCCCCCGGGGCAGAGCCAGGCGGCAGCGUGGCCACGACGCCCGCGAGGCCAUGGGGGUCUACUAGCAGAGCAGGGCCGAGGGGCCGGACGAGCCUCAGAAACCUGCAUCUCUCCCCCAAGGGCCUUAACGCGGCCACGAUCGGCUUUACACGGCAUCUGGAAGAAGAGGAUCCCCUUCUCUUCUGCCCCGGGGGGCUUGCGCCGGUGCCCAGCUCUCCAGGUCAUCGCCAGCGCCCGGCUGUAAUGCUUUCCAGGGGAUCUGGUGGCGUGGGCAGGGUCCAGAAAGCACACGUGGCCUCAUGAACUGGAGAAGAUGGGAAGAGUUCCACAUGAGUGGAAAUGUGCAGUAAUUCCACUGGCUUUACUGGACUCCUUGAAGUCUGUGGAGUGACUUUCAGACUUGUGCUGGCAGAAGAGAUCAGAAUUCAUCCAUUUGUCUCAGAUCCUAAUGGGACAUUUGAAGAGAAAACAGGAGGGAAGGAAGAGCUACGUUAAUCACAAAUGUUCACAAGCCAGGUGUGUUGGCCUAAUGGAUUUCCCAACAAGUGAUGUUUCAGGAUUUAUGGUAUUGCUUUAAGAAUGGCUGUCUCCACUGAAAACAACCCCUUCCCGGGAA